rnacentral:rRNA from 1 species
GGGGAAUAUUGGACAAUGGGCGAAAGCCUGAUCCAGCCAUGCCGCGUGUGUGAAGAAGGUCUUCGGAUUGUAAAGCACUUUAAGUUGGGAGGAAGGGUUUCUGGCUAAUAUCCAGGAAUUUUGACGUUACCGACAGAAUAAGCGCCGGCUAACUACGUGCCAGCAGCCGCGGUAAUACGUAGGGCGCAAGCGUUGUCCGGAAUUAUUGGGCGUAAAGAGCUCGUAGGCGGUUAGUCGCGUCUGCUGUGAAAACUCGAGGCUCAACCUCGGGCUGGAGGGGGGAAGGGGCGAACAGAGGGCGGUAGGGGUGACUUGGAAUCCUGGGGGAGGGGUGGAAAGCGCAAGUAACAAGAGGGACACCGAUGGCGGAGGGAGGUCACCGGGGCGGCAACUGCGCUGAGGAGCGACAGGAAGGGGAGCGAACA